ncrna:Schistosoma mansoni type-P1 twister ribozyme
UCAUUAACUCCGCCUGUAGCUCCUCCGGGGGUUACUGCCGGCUCCAAGACCGGAUAAAGGAGGAGGGUUGG